CCCGGCGCGGGGAGAAUAAUCCGUGCGGAGCGGCGGUGCCCCGGUCUGUCAGUCCGUCCGCUCGCCCGUCAUGUUGCGGCCGAGAUGUCUUUCAUAAUUAUUUCCCAGUUGCUCCGUGGCCAUCCCGGUGCAUUGCUGGUCCUAGGGAGGGAAUAAGGAAACGACGUUUAUGAAGCAGCACCACACCAAGGACAGAUCUCAGCCGCAUCGGUCUAGGAGCAGGAAUGAUUUCCCUGGAAUAUCGGGAGCAUUUUAUGACCCUGAAAGGAACCAGUUUUGGAGGACUGGCACGCUGGAGGAGCUAAGUAAGCCAAGCAGUGACUCAUGACCACAGGUGGGGAGAACAACCUUUCCUUGCACUAGGGUACACGGAGACAUCUUGGGAGGUCUAGGGGAUGUAUGGACUUCACUAAAUAUUUUUCUCUUACAGUACUAUUUGAGCUAGGUUGGCAUUAGGGGUGUUGUCAUACCACAGUGAGCAUGCAGCACUCUGGUCAGGUUCUGAUUUACCUUACCACCAGGGGAGAGGACAAAGGAGGCCUCCCAUACCAAAUUGCUUCUACUCUCCUUUCAAGAGACAUCCUUUCAGUGAAGCAUUGUCACACUCAUCAAUAUCUAUUAGUUUUGCAUUGUAUAUGAUCAUAUCCACUUAGACCUUUGGAGCAAGGAUUAAUCAAGUGACCUUCCCCUUGCUGUAUAGCUCCAUGUAUGUGUA